GGAGUGGUUCAGUGACAGAGCAUGUGCCUUGCAGGCAUGAAGCCCUGGGUUCAAUUCCUGGCACUUCA
rnacentral:tRNA from 1 species